rnacentral:rRNA from 1 species
UACAGAGGUCUCAAGCGUUGUUCGGAUUCAUUGGGCGUAAAGGGUGCGUAGGUGGCGCCGUAAGUCAGGUGUGAAAUUUCGGAGCUUAACUCCGAAACUGCAUUUGAUACUGCGGUGCUUGAGGACUGGAGAGGAGACUGGAAUUUACGGUGUAGCAGUGAAAUGCGUAGAUAUCGGGAAGAACACCCGUGGCGAAGGCGGCUCUCUGGGACGGUACUGACGCUGAGACGCGAAAGCGUGGGGAGCGAACAGG